AACGGCCGUACCAUGCUGAAUAUACAGGUUCUCGUUAGAUCACCGAAGUCAAGCAUCAUUGGGGGUGGUCAGUACUUGGGUGGGUGACCACCUGGGAACACCGCGUGCCGUU
rnacentral:rRNA from 1 species